AAGCUCGUAGUUGAAUUUCGGGAUUAGUACGUUGGUCGUGCCUUAGGUACGUACUGGUGUUACUGGUUCCUACCUUCUGACGAACCAUCAUGUCAUUAAUUUGGUGUGGUGGGGAAUCAGGACUGUUACUUUGAAAAAAUUAGAGUGCUUAAAGCAGGCUCGCGCUUGAAUACAUUAGCAUGGAAUAAUGAAAUAGGACGUUGAUCCUAUUUUGUUGGUUUCUAGGAUUGACGUAAUGAUUAAUAGGGAUAGUUGGG
rnacentral:rRNA from 1 species